rnacentral:ncRNA from 1 species
AUAAACGCGAUGAUCGGAAACAGUAAGGUUAAUUCCGGGGAUGAAGAGAGCUGCGGGUAGGUGCGACGCAGCCGAAGGAGACCUGAACUCGUCCGGGAGCGGAGCGGCGGAAUCACGUAUGUCAGGCUUAAGCUGAUCAGCUGACUUACGUUAACCGGCAGUGCACGGCCGGUGGGCAGUACGCCGUUACGGGGCGUUCCCGUGAUAGAACGGUCAUUCGAAUGGGGUAAGCCCUCAGGCUUAACCGGACCUCGGAUGACGGCAAAGGGGAUAUUUCGAUGAAGCCGCCUUAAGCGCGCCGAGCCGAAAUAUCAACAAGAGUGGUACCGCGAAGGCACAGCCUGUCGUCUCUUGA